rnacentral:rRNA from 1 species
AUACGGAGGGGGCUAGCGUUGUUCGGAAUUACUGGGCGUAAAGCGCGCGUAGGCGGAUUGAUCAGUCAGGGGUGAAAUCCCGAGGCUUAACCUCGGAACUGCCUUUGAUACUGUCAGUCUUGAGUUCGAGAGAGGUGAGUGGAAUUCCUAGUGUAGAGGUGAAAUUCGUAGAUAUUAGGAAGAACACCAGUGGCGAAGGCGGCUCACUGGCUCGAUACUGACGCUGAGGUGCGAAAGCGUGGGGAGCAAACAGGAUUAGAUACCCCGGUAGUCC